GCUGGCGGCGUGCCUCAGACAUGCAAGUCGAACGCGAAAGUCCCCUUCGGGGGACAAGUAGAGUGGCGCACGGGUGAGUAACACGUAGGUAAUCUACCUUUGGAUUGGGAAUAGCCACCGGAAACGGUGGCUAAUACCGAAUAAUGCAGCGGCACCUAAUGGUGACAGUUGUUAAAGCGGGGGAUUGCAAGACCUCGCGUCUGAAGAGGAGCCUGCGGCAGAUUAGCUAGUUGGUAAGGUAACGGCUUACCAAGGCGAUGAUCUGUAGCCGGCCUGAGAGGGCGGUCGGCCACACUGACACUGACAUACGGGUCAGACUCCUACGGGAGGCAGCAGUCGGGAAUUUUGGGCAAUGGGCGAAAGCCUGACCCAGCAACGCCGCGUGAAGGAUGAAAUCCCUCGGGAUGUAAACUUCGCAAGAACGGGAAGAAUAAGUAAGGGUUAAUAUCUCUUACGAUGACGGUACUGUUUGUAAGCUCCGGCUAACUCCGUGCCAUCAGCCGCGGUAAUACGGGGGGAGCAAGCGUUGUUCGGAUUUACUGGGCGUAAAGGGCGCGUA
rnacentral:rRNA from 1 species